UCAGCCCGAGGCACCCAAAUGCCGAAGCACUGCCCUGGGUGCACGUGGAAAGUGCUACGACAUUUGGGUGUCCCUGGUGGG
rnacentral:pre_miRNA from 1 species